rnacentral:misc_RNA from 1 species
UCGAUCAACCAGAAGCUGCUGCCGCUCGGCGACGACAUCGGCUUCAUCUGCGGCCAUGGCCCCGGCUCGAAUUUCGGCCACGAGCGCGCCACCAACCCGUUCCUCAAUGGUGGCUUGGGUUAGUUAGCUGAAAUCUUCGGGAGUCAGUUCGAUCGGCUGACCGUGCGGCGUGCGGUCUGCAGCGUGAUCCCAUGCAUCGCGGUAGCGGUGCAGUU